UACGUAGGGGGCAAGCGUUGUCCGGAUUUAUUGGGCGUAAAGAGCGUGUAGGCGGCCAGGUAGGUCAGCUGUGAAAACUCGAGGCUCAACCUCGAGACGCCGGUUGAAACCAUCUGGCUAGAGUCCGGAAGAGGAGAGUGGAAUUCCUGGUGUAGCAGUGAAAUGCGUAGAUAUCUGGAGGAACACCGGUGGCGAAGGCGGCAUCCUGGACCGGCACUGACGCUGAGGAGCGAAAGCCAGGGGAGCAAACGGG
rnacentral:rRNA from 1 species